AGUGGGGAAUAUUGGGCAAUGGGCGAAAGCCUGACCCAGCAACGCCGCGUGAGGGAAGAAGGUUUUCGGAUUGUAAACCUCUGUCCUUGGGGACGAAGAAAGUGACGGUACCCAAGGAGGAAGCCCCGGCUAACUACGUGCCAGCAGCCGCGGUAAUACGUAGGGGGCAAGCGUUGCCCGGAAUUACUGGGCGUAAAGGGUGCGUAGGCGGUUGCCUAAGUCAGAUGUGAAAUCCCCGGGCUUAACUCGGGUGGUGCAUUUGAAACUGGGUAACUAGAGUGCAGGAGAGGGAAGCGGAAUUCCUAGUGUAGCGGUGAAAUGCGUAGAUAUUAGGAGGAACACCAGUGGCGAAGGCGGCUUUCUGGACUGUAACUGACGCUGAGGCACGAAAGCGUGGGGAGCAAACAGGAUUAGAUACCCUGGUAGUCCACGCUGUAAACGAUGGAUACUAGGUGUAGGGGGCGUAGAGCCUUCUGUGCCGCAGCAAACGCAAUAAGUAUCCCGCCUGGGGAGUAC
rnacentral:rRNA from 1 species